rnacentral:rRNA from 1 species
ACUUAUCACCAUUCCAGAUAGAAUAUACCCGAUCUCGUCUGAUCUCGGAAGUCAAGCAAUCUCGGGCUUGGUUAGUACUUGGAUGGGUAACCGCUUGGGAAUACCAAGUGUGAUAAGCA